GGAUUUUGGUCAUUAGAGGAAGUAAAAGUCGUANCAAGGUUUCCGUAGGUGAACCUGCGGAAAGAUCAUUC
rnacentral:rRNA from 1 species